rnacentral:lncRNA from 1 species
CGCAGCAAGGGCCAGACUCUGCGCUAGCAGGCGCUGCGCGCCAACCGGCCGGCACCUGUCGCAGAAGGUGCAACCGAUCGCACUGUCGCGCAGAAGCUCCUCAAUGGCCAGCGCCAGCUGCAGCCCCGGCCGCCCACUCGCCUCAUCUGAGCCUGGGCAAAUCUGGAUUGGGAAAGUUGACAUUAAUCAACUCAUUAUUCCUCACAGAUUUGUAUUCUCCAGAGUAUCCAGGUCCUUCUCAGAGAAUUAAAAAGCCUGUACAGGUCUAGAUAUUGGUAUUUUUAAUUGAUGAUAAGCUGGAAUAAUAUUAAUACACACAAAGCACGUGUUGUAACUUUCAUUAUGCUUCCUUAGAGCGCUGCUCUAAGCUGUUGAUGAAAAAUAUUGUUGGUGAGCUCUGCUUAGGUAAUAUAUAGGACAUGAGCAGAGAGGAGGCACGUGAACAGUUCUGGCCUGGAGUAGGCUUCAUUGAGGCUGUGAUGCUUUUAGCUGGAUUUGAAGAAGUGGUAGUGAUCAUCCCAGUGCACAGGAUAGGUGGACAGUCUAUGUAUUCUGAGCAGUAACUCAUAUAUCUCAUACUGCAAGACCCCAAAGGAGUAAUUUUGUGAACUCUGUUCACGGAAAGGGCCUGGGAGCUGCAACACCUCAACAGCAACAAGCACACCUGCUACCUAGAACUUGGUUUCUAAAAACCAUCCUCCUCUAAAAGGAAACAGAGCUCUUUGAAGAAACGGUGAGACAGUCAACAAACCUCUAACCACCGACCUUUUCUCCUCUGCCCUCCACUCACACUCUGCUCCAUCACCCUCAGCCACACAGCUGACGCUGUAGAGAUUCACUGACAUCCAGUCUGAUGGACACUGUUUCUCCAGCCGAAACUGCUCAUGAGAACAUGUGCAGUGAAGUGCUCCAGAGGCCCCAGCAUGCUACAUUACAGAAGACUGAACUCAGGAGAGAUGAGGAAUAAUCCCCUCCAUCACACCAGACACCAGGAGGGUGUGCCAAGAGGUAACUUUGCUGAACUUGUGAAGAAUGGUGUGCAAGGUCCAGAGCGACUGCAGGAGAGGGAAGGUGGGAUUCCCACAGAGCAGGAGCACAGAUAAGCCAAGCAAGGCCCUGCUUGGAAGGCAGCAAUCAACAGAGAUGCACAGACCUGUGAGGGUGCCGGGACAGCCAUGCAACAAUGCAGCCCUUUUGCUUCCUGAGCUCACCAGUUCCCUCGCUCCACCUCUGAGAGGUGGUUUGGAGAAACACAGCCCUUCUCAAGAGGGCUGCAAGCUACUUAAGUCCUGAAAAUUUCCACAAGGCUGAGUCAAAUCUGCGUUUCAUCAUCUA